rnacentral:lncRNA from 1 species
GGGGCAGAGAGAGGCCGGGAAUUUGAACGGGACCCACGUUUUCCUGCGCUUCCCUUAGCCUUGGCUGUGGUCAGAGAUCUUGGUGAUCAAAGAGUCUGACCCCCUAGUUCUCACUUUACCAUUGGGCCAUUUCUUGUUCACCACAGACACACCUGUGUCCAGAGUGCACAUAUGACAAGCCACUGCUCUGAGGGGGAGCUCCUGGCUGGGGGGAUUCCAGGACCUAGAUCUGUGAAGCCACCUGCCUCGGACAUCAUGGAGGAGGAUGGCAGUGUUCGGAGGCUCAGGAAGCACAGCACCGUGCCCGGGUGGCAGUUGGCCUGGAGUCUAUGCAAUGUGGGGUGAACCAGGACCACUCUCUGGGAUGCCCACCCAGGAGAGCCAGGAAGGUGUUUUAGGCUGGGCCCCAAGGCCUCUCUGUAGCCUCCUGAGGCCAUGUAAGGACCCAAUCUGGCCUGGCCCAGAAGUCAGAUUCCUCAGCCAAGGAGUUGCAGGGACAAGGAGAGGCGGCCAGUGUGGUGGGAGGACACCUUUGUUGGUGGGAGGACACCUUUGUUGGUGGGAGGACGCCUUUGUUGGUGGGAGAACGCCUUUGUUGGUGGGAAGACUCCUUUGUUGGUGGGAGGAUGCCUUUGUUGGUGGGAGGACGCCUUUGUUGGUGGGAGGAUGCCUUUGUUGUAGGUAUUUUCUCAACGGUGGGGCUGGGCUGCCUGCCAGGUGCCAGGGCGCGGCUCUGGCCUCCCGCUGCACAACCCACUUUGCCGCCAAGCCCUGUACCUGGCCCAGCAGCUCCUUCCCGCGCUUCCGCUGCCAGGCCCGGGAAAGUGAGAGGCAAAAUGUGUUGGGCGGGCUGAGCCGGCUGGUUCCCAGCCCACCUGGCCUCAUGCUUCUGGCAAGGAUCCUGAGCCUACACAGGAGAAGGGACUCACUCAGGGCCCUCUUGGUGCUUGGCAUUUAGAACUGCAUUCUU